rnacentral:rRNA from 1 species
UACGGAGGGUGCAAGCGUUAUCCGGAUUCACUGGGUUUAAAGGGUGCGUAGGCGGAUAGGUAAGUCCGUGGUGAAAUCCUGCAGCUUAACUGCAGAACUGCCAUGGAUACUAUUUAUCUUGAAUGUCGUGGAGGUUAGCAGAAUAUGUCAUGUAGCGGUGAAAUGCGUAGAUAUCGGGAGGAAUACCAGUGGCGAAGGCGGCCUUCUGGACGGAUACUGACGCUGAGGCGCGAAAGCCAGGGGAGCAAACGGG